CCUACGGGCGGCAGCAGUGAGGAAUAUUGGUCAAUGGGCGAGAGCCUGAACCAGCCACGUCGCGUGAGGGAGUACUGCCCUAUGGGUUGUAAACCUCUUUUGUCGGGGAGCAAAAGCCGGACGUGUCCGGCUGUGAGAGUACCCGAAGAAAAAGCAUCGGCUAACUCCGUGCCAGCAGCCGCGGUAAUACGGAGGAUGCGAGCGUUAUCCGGAGUUAUUGGGGUUAAAGGGUGCGCAGGCGGAUUUUUAAGUCAGCGGUCAAAUCGUGGGGCUCAACCCCAUCCAGCCGUUGACACUGGGGAUCUAGAGUGUGCGAGAGGUAUGCGGAAUGCGUGGUGUAGCGGUGAAAUGCAUAGAUAUCACGCAGAACCCCGAUUGCGAAGGCAGCAUACCGGUGCACAACUGACGCUCAGGCACGAAAGCGUGGGUAUCGAACAGGAUUAGAUACCCGAGUAGUC
rnacentral:rRNA from 1 species